CUUGGUGGUCGGGACUAAGGAAAAAGCCGGGAUGGUAAAGCAUUCCUUGGUUAGGACAUACCAAAGAGAGAAAAACCGCAGGGGUGGUAAAGUAUUCCUUAGGAUGUCUUAGAGGUGAGAAAUCCCUAUUGUUGGGGGGGUUGAACCUCACACAAACCUCCAGUAGUAAGAAAAAUAUUCAGAACUCCCCUUUUCUUUCUUCUCAGGGAAAGAAACAGUAGCUCCACUCCUGCCGGUCCCUCCCCUAGGGGAGAGGGAAGCAGAGGAGAAAACAGCAGCAUAGGUGGCUGGCAAAGACAAAGGAAAGACCAGUAGAAGAGAAAGAAACCAAAAACAGCAAGCGCAGAGCCAAACAGCCAGGCAGGCAGGCCAAAGGUUAAGUCCCUCUCCCCAGCCCUGCGGUUUGUGAAAAAGAGGGUGGGCACCGGCUCCGGGAGGAGAGCAGAGGAGGUGAAAAGGCGUAAUUCUUGCAAUUUGCGGCAGGCAUAUCUGCCAAGCCUCUAGGCUAGUGACUGCCCGGGGCCCAGACUGCAGCCACGCAAAUCCCACUCAGCCCAAGAAACUAAGUGUAAAAAGAAAAGGAAAAAAAAAAAAGUAAGAGGGGAAAUCAGGGGGAAAAAAAAGAAAAACAGCAGCGCGGGGUCGGGGGCGGGGCCUGUGCGGUGGCCCAGCCCUGCUUGCGGCAGGAGCGGGAGAAGUCCGGAGAAGAAAGGGAAACGGGAUGAGAGAGCGGAAAAUAGAGUGCAAAUGAGAGAAAGAAAUAGAAGGAAAGAGUAAGAGAGAAACUGGAAGAGACAGAAAUCAAAAGAAGACAAAGGAGGUGAAACUAGGAAAAAAAUAGUGUAAAAGGAAGGCAGAAAGUUAAGACAUGUUGAAGAUUGUGAAAGUCGUAAGAAAAGCUAUAAAAGGG
rnacentral:lncRNA from 1 species